rnacentral:rRNA from 1 species
AUGAGAAUUCAUAGCAUCAUUGUGAGAUGGAGUCGAUUCAAGCAUCACAUGUUGGAAAUACUGCACCAUAGUGACAUAAGGGGCAUCGCAUUCAGGAAACCUAAUGAUUCCAUAUACACCUUCCCAAUGCCUGAUUGCAUAUGCCAACAAGAUGGAAUAUGA